GGGGCAGUAGCUCAGUGGUUAGAGCAGCGGACUCAUAACCCGCCGGUCGCUGGUUCAAUUCCAGCUUGCCCCAC
rnacentral:tRNA from 1 species